CCGAGUUAUCCAACUCCCAACCCCUGUGAAUUAUACCUUUAAUUGUUGCUUCGGCGGGACUUCGCGCCCGCCGGGGACCCAAACCUUCUGAAUUUUUUAAAAGUAUCUUCUGAGUGGUUAAAAAAAAUGAAUCA
rnacentral:misc_RNA from 1 species